rnacentral:lncRNA from 1 species
CUACUUUAUACUUGAAAUGGUUGCUACUCUUAUUACUAUGGUGCAGUUUCUAUGUCGCGAGGAAUGAGAAAAAAUGUCAUGCUACUAUUACUAUUACUUUUUACUUCCAAGUCAUAUAUAAGUUCAUUAUAUUUGAUCUUUAAAAGUUUUCAAGUAUAUCAGAUUUUUAAUUGUUUAAAAUUGAUGAAUUACAGCUGUUUUUGUUUUAUUUUAGCUUUAAGUGCUUUAAUUUUUUUUCUGCUUCUUCCUUCUUUUGCCUAUUGUAUAUAAGCUGAUUGAGUUGCUUUCUUUAUUUAAGAAUUUAUGCAAUGUUAGGAUGUGUCACUUAUUUUUCUUGAAAACUUAUGAGACAUUUUUUAUUUUUUUUUACUAUUGUCUAUCUGAUAAAGAAAAUCUUUUACAACAACACUAUCUAUCCGCCGCAUCGCGCGGGCCACUACACUAGUAAUUAAGAAACACCUUUUAUAAAUGAUUCACAGUUCAGAUUCUGAUAAUUAUUUUUCAUUUGUG